GACGGAGGAUGCAAGUGUUAUCCGGAAUCACUGGGCGUAAAGCGUCUGUAGGUGGUUCAAUAAGUCAACUGUUAAAUCUUGAGGCUCAACUUCAAAAUCGCAGUCGAAACUAUUGGACUCGAGUAUAGUAGGGGUAAAGGGAAUUUCCAGUGGAGCGGUGAAAUGCGUAGAGAUUGGAAAGAACACCAACGGCGAAAGCACUCUGCUGGGCCGACACUGACACUGAGAGACGAAAGCUAGGGGAGCGAAUGGGAUUAG
rnacentral:rRNA from 1 species